rnacentral:sRNA from 1 species
CAUCGGCAGUUUUUGCCGAAGUCCGGUCUCAGGCCCGUCCCCCGCCUAUCCGGACCCUGCGGCAGCCUCAUCCCCCUCUCCGGGCUGCCGCACCGUUUAAGAAUGUGCCGCCGUGGCUCCCCCCUCCACCACGGCGGCACUUU